rnacentral:sRNA from 1 species
UCCAGAGAGAGUGGACCACAGAGUCAGCUCACAGCCCAGUGGACCACUGCUUCCCUUCUGUCCAGGCAGCCUCAGUCCCUACAGAGUACGCUGCAGCUUUGCAUCACCUCCUUAUUCAUCCCAACCUCUGGGCUGAUAUCUUUCCUUGGAGAAGACAAGAGAAAAGGACAAACCUUCAUCCAGCAGCAUAAUGGAGGUGCUUGGCUUUCCAGAGUACAACAGCAUCAGAAUGGUCACGCCCAUGGUUGCUAGGACUUCUCCUAAUUCCUAGAGACCGACAAUCAAGAGGAGAGGACAGGCAGGUACCAUUCUUAGGAGAAAGAAGGCUGCUUGGCCCUCACUGUGGUGGGUUAUUUGGCUGUCACAGGUCCCAUCACAGUGCUCUACACGUGGUGAAGUAAUGCGGCAAGCUCAACUAGGACAUGGAAAUUAUUCUUCUCCUGUUUCACUUUCCGGUGGUCAUCCCUUGAUUUCUCCAAAGUCCUAAAGACAGUAGUGGGAGGACAGAUGAAAACUGACAUGUCAUCUACUUAGAGCACAUUGGGUUCAUUUCAGGAAAAGAUAAAUAAUUAAAUAAAUGAGAAGAGCUCCUCUGGCCUGUGGAUGUGGUUUAGUGAAGUGCAAAUCCUGAGACAAUGAUGUAGUCUUCUGGCCCAUCACAAAACGGACUGCAUGGGGUAAUACCUGUGAUUUGGUGACCUCCCAGUGUGCUUGCGAGGCCCCAACUACAGGAAAGUGGAGAUUUCCGGUGUGACUCAUGGGAAACAGAAAGGUAGAAGACUGUUAGCAUCUUCUCUCCCUAUCGGUUCUUCAGGGAAAGGUGACAAAUACAUGGCAGUGCUUGUCUGAAUGAACUAUGCUAAUCCCGAGCAGGCAAGAGAAAGAAAAAGGUUCGCACAUAGGAGAGUUCCCGAUUGCCCACUAUGUUGACUAUGUCUUUGGGCUGGGUGUAUAGAGAAGUCUUUCAACUAGCUCAAACAGGUAGAGGAACAUUUUCCAUCUAUUGAGUUAUAAUUUGUUCCAUGUCUCUGCUGGUGUGGAUACCAUAAUGCUCACAUAUAUGAGCAAAUGUGUAAUAUGUGCAGAAAUGUACAUACUAAACAUGGUUUAUAAUACAGUCUUCAAGUCAGAGGGGCUAAUGUUUGAUUUUUAGACUUUUAAUGGUGAGAUGAUAUUCUGUUGAAGAUGUUUGCAUUUUGACCUUUCUCUGAGGCUCUCCUAACGCUGGGCAAUGGCAACUGGGAAUUAAUUUCUGUGUACAUCGGCUUUUUGUCACUGUGACAACUGCCAGGUGUAAGUCAACUUAAUUAUGAGGAAGGUUCAUUUGGGGAAAGGUUCAGGCCACUGUUGUUGGCCAAUGGGGAGUCAGGGCACCAUGACAUAGCAUGAGGUACCACCUCAUGGCAGUUAGGAAACAGAAUGGUCUUGGAUUCCAACAUCCCCUUUAAGGGUGUGUCCUCUCCCAAUAACCUAACUUCUCCUUCAGUCAGAUCUUACACCCUCUUAACAGUACCACAGGUUUGGGGCCAAAGUCUUCAUUUAUCAUACAUGCUUUUAGCCAAUAUCCAAGUCCCAACUCUACAAUCCCAUGUUCCUUUCCUAGCUUAAAUUACAGGAGAGUAAACGUUAUAUUUUCAGAAUAAAGAAUUGGCAUCAUCCUCUGGUAAACCAUUGGCAAGACAGCAUAGUAACCAGAAAGUCCCAUUGUAACCUGUGGCUGACACUGGCCGAGAUGCUAGCACCUUGUAAACUACAGUUAAGUGAAAGUGCAAAGGGUCUCAAUUUUCCUCACCUCCUUGGCUUGAAUUGUCCUUGGAGACCAAAGGAACACAUCUCCAUUUCCAACACAGGUAUCUUAUCCAGAGCUUCUUAGGACUCAUUGCAGCUAAGUCUCAUGAGAACACCUUGAAAAUAAUUAGUUCUAACUUACAAAUGGAGAAGGAGGUGUGGAAAGAUGGCUUGGUGAGUAAGAGCCCAUGUCCUCCAGAGAGGACCUGGGUUCA